rnacentral:pre_miRNA from 1 species
UUUUUAGUAUAAAUAUAUACAGUGUAGUAUUUGGUAUAUACUUGUACUACAA